rnacentral:rRNA from 1 species
UAGGGAAUCUUCGGCAAUGGACGAAAGUCUGACCGAGCAACGCCGCGUGAGUGAAGAAGGUUUUUCGGAUCGUAAAAACUCUGUUGGUAGAGAAGAACGUUGGUGAGAGUGGAGAGCUCAUCAAGUGACGGUAACUACCCAGAAAGGGACGGCUAACUACGUGCCAG